rnacentral:rRNA from 1 species
CAAAAACAUGUCUUUUUGAAAAUAAUAAAAAGUCUAAUCUGCCCACUGAAUUUAUUUAAAGGGCUGCAGUAUAUUGACUGUACAAAGGUAGCAUAAUCAAUAGUCUUUUAAUUGAAGACUUGUAUGAAUGAUUUGAUGAAAUAUGAACUGUCUCUUUUUUAAAAAUAAAAUUUAAUUUUUUAGUUAAAAAGCUAAAAUAAUUAUAAAAGACGAGAAGACCCUAUAGAGUUUUAUAGUUAUUUAAUUUAAAAAUUUUAUAUAUAAUUUAAAUUUAAAAUUAAUUAAUUAUUUUAUUGGGGUGAUAGAAAAAUUAAAAAAACUUUUUUUAAAAAUUUAACAUUAAUUUAUGAAAUUAUGAUCCAUAAUUUAUGAUUAAAAGAAUCAAUUACCUUAGGGAUAACAGCGUAAUUUUUUUUUUUAGUACAAAUAAGAAAAAGAGUUUGCGACCUCGAUGUUGGAUUAAGAUAAAAUUUAAAUGCAAAAGUUUAAAAUUUUUGAUCUGUUCGAUCAUUAAAAUCUUACAUGAUCUG